UGGGGAGUGGCCAAGCGGUAAGGCAGCUGAUUCUGGAUCAGCCAAUCGGAGGUUCGAAUCCUCCCUCCCCAG
rnacentral:tRNA from 2 species